UCACUGAGAUACAUCCCUGGCCUGCGAUCACAAUCCCCACAGGCUAUGUGUUAUGGAACUUGCCCCUUUGUCAAAAGUUAGCUGUGCUCACUUUUCCCUGUUUGAGGACUCUUGUGACAUCACAGGAAGGGAACACCUGUAUUCUGGGGCUCUCUGGCCUCCCAUGACUUUUUCUUCAUGAGCAUGUCCUGUAGACACUCAUCCCAGGUUUCCCUCAUGUAAAAUGAACAUGCCUUAUCUCCAAAAGUCUAUUGUGCUGCAUUGAGAUACCAAAGCCAGAAAAUUAAGGGUUAAAAAGAGGUCAAGAGGUAGGAUUUUAUCUGAAACUUCCUAUUCCAGCAAUUUGUGAAUGGGCAUUUAACCCAUGGAAAGUGUGUCCUAUGGAGUCAUUAAGCACAGAAGUUCUGAGGAGAAAGGAAGAUGAGACUGGAAAAGAACCCUCGAUACUCGUGAGAAUAAUAAGAGCGUUCCGGGAUUCCAAGGCUGAGAUCUGCGCUCCUGGGCCAUCAGUUUGAGAAUAACCACUCCUGUAAUGAGUCACCUGUGGCAG